rnacentral:rRNA from 1 species
UACGUAGGGGGCAAGCGUUGUCCGGAUUUAUUGGGCGUAAAGAGCGUGUAGGCGGUUAGGUAGGUCCGUUGUGAAAACUCGGAGGCUCAACCUCGAGACGCCGAUGGAAACCAUCUGACUAGAGUCCGGAAGAGGAGAGUGGAAUUCCUGGUGUAGCGGUGAAAUGCGCAGAUAUCAGGAAGAACACCCGUGGCUAAGGCGGCUCUCUAGUACGUGACUGACGCUGAGACGCGAAAGCGUGGGGAGCGAACAGG